rnacentral:tRNA from 1 species
CCACCGUCUACGCCAGCGGCGAGCCGUGCCCGAUGUGUUCGGCCGCGAUGGUGUGGGCGCAGGUCGGGCGGAUCGUGUUCGCCGCGGCGGCC